AUUCAGCUGAUGAGUCCCAAAUAGGAUGAAACGCACGUCCUGGGU
rnacentral:hammerhead_ribozyme from 1 species